rnacentral:misc_RNA from 1 species
GAAAUGCGAUAAGUAGUGUGAAUUGCAGAAUUCAGUGAAUCAUCGAAUCUUUGAACGCACAUUGCGCCCCUCGGUAUUCCGUGGGGCAUGCCUGUUCGAGCGUCAUCUACACCCUCAAGCUCUGCUUGGUGUUGGGCGUCUGUCCCGCCUCCUUCGCGCGCGGACUCGCCCCAAAUCCAUUGGCGGCGGCCCUUGCCUCCCUCUCACGCUCUUGACCUCGGAUCAGGUAGGGAUACCCGCUGAACUUAAGC